rnacentral:rRNA from 1 species
UACGAAGGGGACUAGCGUUGUUCGGAUUUACUGGGCGUAAGCGCGCGUAGGCGGAUCGCUAAGUCAGGGGUGAAAUCCCAGGGCUCAACCCUGGAACUGCCUUUGAUACUGACGGUCUGGAGAUCGGGAGAGGUUGGUGGAAUUCCGAGUGUAGAGGUGAAAUUCGUAGAUAUUCGCAAGAACACCAGUGGCGAAGGCGGCUCACUGGCCCGUAACUGACGC